GGCUCUGCUGACUUCCUGUCCUGGACACUUGAGGGCUCUGCUGACUUCCUGUCCUGGACACUUGAGGGCUCUGCUGACUUCCUGUCCUGCUGCCACUGAACUCUGGCCUUUUCUGCUCUACAGUCUCAACCCUACACUUCUCUGUUAAUAUCUUAAUACACCUUACCUAUCUAUCACAGCUCUCUUCAGGUAUUGCCCUGGUCUCUCAGCACCUACUCUGCUGCCCCAGCACAUCUGGGCCGGGCUGUGGACAAGGCAUUUCCUUAGAUGCAGUAAACUUCUCUGUGAGGAGUGGUGUCCUUACUUCACAGGAUUAUUGUGAAAAUUAAACUGAUAUUAGGUACAGAUGCUGCUCUCCUGGUGAUGGGAUUUUGAGCGGCUAAACCCACUGUACACUGAAACUAUCAUAAGCAGAGAGUGUGUCUGAUACACCUAACCUACAGAGCAUCAGUGCUUUUCCCAGUGAUCAUGGGCAUGGCUGGGAGGACUCUGCGUUGCUAGCCCGGGAAGAGAUACGGAUUCCAAAAAGUAAAAAAAAAAUCCUAAGUGCAACCACUUUCACUUAGAUGAGGACAGUAUGUAUUAAAAAUCCUUAUGAAUCAGAAAAUGUCAUACAAGGUAAGGUAUGAUAACUCCUCUUACCACUUUGUUUUAUGCGCCUGAGAAGGGAUUCAUCAGAUCAGCAACAUCAUACUAGGGGCCACUUCAUGCUUCCCAUGCCUGAAACACUUGCCUCCUUCAUCUUCACAGGCAGCCACCAGCCAGGCCACUCAGCCAUUGCAACCUGCCAGUUUUGUGUCCUUGGGCAGUUCCUUAAUAGCUCAGACCCCCAUCUCCAAAAGGGGGUUCAUGCCAGGACUCCUCACGAGGGCUGCCAGGAGGCAUUAACGCAUGCAAACCACAUAGCAGGCUCAUGUGUCGUGAUACUACUUUGUUUCUCACAUGAGGCUGAACUAGAACUGGACUCGGGUCCAGCCGCUUCUCCCCUCCUGCUGUGCCCCCUCUCAUUACAGUCUGUAAUCUACGAAGUGCCGGCAUACCUGUUUCCGUGUUCCACAGCACAGACCAUGUUCCAUCCCUCUGCCUCCUCGGGAAGGGGACAAAGGGAUUAUACAACAGAAACCUGGAACUGCUGAGGGUCUUCUCAACCUGCGCUGGAGAAAUGUAGGGUGAGACAUGGAGCCAGAGGGGAAGAAACCGAACAGGAAGCUCCAGGUCACUAACCAGCAGCAGCAGCUGGCUCCGUGGUGCAGUUUUGAAGACACCUCUGAAACAGGCUCAUCAUAUCCCUCCCCAGAAAUGCCAGCGCGGCUCCUGACACCUCUCCUCCAAGGUGGGUCCUGGCACCAACAGGUCCCUCAUCUGAGAUCGGAGUCGCCUGCUCUUUCUCCUCUCCAGAGGUCUGGGCCUCAGGGCAGAGACCCUGCCCCGAGCCAGGGUUCAGGUGUAUUAAUUCCAACCUCUUGCUGGGUUUCCUCUGCCAUGGAGGGGGAGCAGCCUUCUGUAGUUGCCACCUCCAUGGUUCCUCUGUGUCACCCUUUUGACUCUUGAGUUCUCUCCCUUAAAGGCUGAUGUUUCCUUAGAUUCAGUUCUCUGUAUUGAUGCGUGUUCAAGGCGCACACACACGCACGCAUGCACGCAUGCACACCCGCACACAGGUAUGGUUUCUCUCUCUUGCCUGGACCCCAACUGACACCUUAGGAAGGAAGGUAGAAAAAGACCAACCAGGAAGAAUUUGUGCCGCUCCAGCUUCUAAUCAACUACAGAAAUGAGAUCCACAAAACCCAACUCACAGCUCAAAGCUAAAGGAGGAAAUAAAGAAAGACGGUGUCGAUAAACCCUCAGGGAAUGACCACGUGGUGGCCAGUGGUACAGACCCUCUGCUGGUUCAGGGAAACUUCAGAGGCACCUGCAUCACCUUUCCCUCAGUAUCCAACACUUUCUAGGCACUAACCCUGCACUGAGAACCCCGUCCUGCAAAGGACAAGCUGCCGGACCCAGGGGCCUUCGAAGUUCCCACCAAGCCUGUCUCAAGUGAACCUGAAGGUGCGAGAAGACGGGGUGCAGGACUGAGCACCAGGAGGGCGGAGCUUCAGGGUGCUGGAGGGGCGCGGUGCUUACACCUGCCUGCCACGGGGCAGCAAUACCCUGCACAGCCUGGCAGGGGCGCGGGCAGUCUGAGUCCAGCCUCCUGCCCUGCUCAGGGCCGUCAUUAAUGGCGUCAGAUGGACAGCGCUGAGAGGGACGCACAGCUCUGCACUGUCACCAGUGGGGGGGUUCCUCCACGGUCUCCCGUCCCCACUGCUCUCUGCUGCCCACUCAGGUCAUGAGAGAUUUAGCCUGAGCCUGAGUAAAAUGGAAUCAAACACUUUCCUAUAGGCUAUUUUUCAAUAACUUCCUCCCCAAAAGCCUGAGGAUUCAAAAUGGUGCAUGACGGACGCCUCGCUGUUAUCCUCGCUUGAUGGGUAAUAUACAGCCUUUGCUCCUAAGGGAAGUGUGAGACCUGACUCUGACGAGCCGCAGACGAUAGCAUUUCUCUCCGCAGAGCUUUCCAACGUUCUGAAUGUCUUUUAUUUCUUCCUUCCUUCCCUCCUUCUCUUUUCUUUUUGUGAGACGGAGACUGAACAGGGAGGGAAAAGGCAGAGAAAGGCCUCCUCAUUUCAGCUGGAGGGCUGGAUCCGCAGUUUUCUUUAGCCUUCUUUGCUGCAUCUGAGUCUUACCUGUUACUUCCUGGUCGCUGAAUUAGAAGAUGACUACGCUGCUGGUGAGGAGGGGUCCGCAUGGAGGUGCACAGAGGCAACCCUUCUGGGAAAACUGGCUCCGAGCUCGCUGCAGGGCCUGGAGCUUCCCUUGAGUUGCUGAGCUUGUCACUCGUUCCCUGGCAGGCGGGUCCUGCCUGCACUGCCUGCCUCACCCUGCCUGUUCUGUGGGCCAUUAAUGAACCGGAACCACAGCUGUGCUUAGGAAGGCUUUGGUCAGCUCAACGUUUCUUGGGUUGUGACAGAGAUGAGAGGCGAAAACAGACAGGAGGAGGGAAAGGGCCUGAGGGACAUGUGAGAGCUGAGGAAGAGCCACUGACUGCAUAAAGGGGCUGGGCUGUGAGCGGAGCUUGGGGCCAGCAUGGUCAGUGGGCCUCGGCUACCUGCACACCUCCGUCUGAGUGUCUCCCACCUGGGCCUGCUGACCCUAGCCAGGGCUGCUGACCGUGCUGUGAAUAGGAGCCGUUUCUUUGCCAAGGGGAAGUGACAAAAACACAGGCAGGAAGGACACAUGAGUGAGCACCAGACACUGCCCGCUCUGCCCCCACAUCCCUGUGGGCUGUUGGACAGGAGUGGCUGAACCGCAGAUUCCCUCAGGUGGCGGCCAAGGGCCUUCAGCCCUAGAGAAAAGGCACAAGACACAGCCAACAAACACAGAAGGGUCUGGAAGGGAGGCUCAGUCUGUUUUAGGAUUAGCACACUGGUAAAUCUUCCACUGUUAGGUCUCACUACUAUUUUCAGUGGAUUUAAAAUAUUCCAAGUGAUAGUAGAGGUUGGAUCUCUUAAAGAUUGAGCCAAUCAGAACAAAAAUGCCACACUGUAAAAGGCUUGAACAGGGACAUAACAUAGAAACAUCUACAAAAUGUAUUGUCUACAAACACAUUAGCAUCAGUCAGCCCAUAUUAUUUUUUCUUCAUUCAUUCAUUCAUUCAUUCAUUCACGCAUUCAAUGAAUAUCUAUUCAACAGUAUGUGCAAUGAAACAUGAAAGGCACAUGAGGGACAUUAAGAUUAGAAUUCUUUUCCACAAGAAAUUUACAAACUAAUAGGAGAAGUAAGCAUUGGCUAAAACAAAUAUGUAAACAUUAGUAAAGUCAUUUCAGGAAUGAAGUACAAACAGUGCUAGGGGAUUCAGAGAGCAACAUGAGCAGUUGGGAUGUUGGCGAAGGCAGGGUCUGUGUGGCUCUGACGACUGCAUAACAGUAUGUGUGGGAGAGAGGAGAGAGUUUUUAGUGCUAGGGAAAAACUGUAUCCAGCAAAGACAUUUCAUCUGCAAAACCCAGAAAUCCGACGUGAGGUUCCUUCAAGCUCCACAUGUUAUGACACAGAUGAGCCACGUUUAGUAUGCUGAGCUUAAAACGCAAUUUAAACAGCCAAGUGGGCACAGCUGGCGGGAACCAGUGCAGAAGUCAGAUCUCAUCCCUGUGGCCUCCCAGGCAGUUAGGUACUGUAUAGCUACAACGUAAGGUUUCUGGUCAUCGGCAGCCAGCUCCUAGAUACAAGAAACUGACCAUGUAGUCCAGGGCCAGUCAGUUCCAGAGUCUUCCCUUCCUACUGCUGCAAGGCCUUGGGUCUCUCGAUGUGACUUUAAGGUGGCCACACGUUAGCUACGGUGUUCAUCUUCCCAGGUCCCACAAAGUUAAUUUAUAAUUCCGUGAACAAAGCUGAAAGGACGGAAGGUUUUAAUCCAAGCUUUAAUGGCACUAACACCACAGAAUUCCCUCAUUCUUUCCCAAAUCGAGGGAAACAACUCUGGGUGUAUUGUCACAGUGAAUUACUGUAUUUGUACAUGAUCUCUCACAUCCAUGGUUUUUUUCUAAAUAUGCAGUUGAUAUGUAAGACUUAAAGACAUUAGAAUAAAUCUUCACAGCUGAUCCUGAUGACUGGGUUAGUAAUUUCCCACAAUUAAUCCAAAAUUUCCCCAUUUUCACUUUGUGCUUAUAAUGUACAAGGCUAUUAGAUGUUCAGAGGUAGAGAUUAAGAAAUUUUAAUGAAUACAAUAAGACCUUAAAACUCAGUGAAACAGAAAGGUCAUCCUAGACAUGCUCGGAACAUAAAAUAUGACCGACUGUAUGUAAACACAGAAUCUCACAGAAUGAUUGCUACAUAAAUGGUGUUUAGGGGUAAAGGAUGAAUGUGAAGUGUGUUAGUCCCAUCUCUUGUAAGCAGAUUAGAGGCUGGGAAUACUUUUCUUGGGGGUGGAGACAGAUCUGAAUGAAUAUUCGCACCCUUCCCCGUCAAUGGCACCAAUCUCUAUGCUGGACGACACCAGGGUUCAUGGGACCCCACGAACUACAGAGCAUGCACUGGGCAGGGAGUUCUCAUCCAGGCUGUCUGGAAGCCUGCACACCCAACUACUGCACCCACAUCUGUGGGAAAGGUCUCUUCUAAUAGUCCCUCGGGGAAUCCCCAUACUGGGAACCACUGAGAACCACCCUCAAGCUGAUGCAGCAUGUCUGUGUCACUCUGUAACAGGCCGCUGGUGCCGCAUGCACCCUUCUACACUAACACUGCUGCUGCAAGGUCCAGUCUGGGAGUCCUGAUGACAUUAGACAUGUGGGCUGUCACUUACUGUGUCCUUACUGUGCCAGUAGCUGAGCUGAGCUUUUGCCCAUGUGAAGGUGAUCUGCAAAACAAACUUAGGGUAAGUGCUGCUGCUUUCCCAGUUUACCAAGGAGAAACAGCAGCCCGAGGAAGGUAAGUGACCUGCCCUGAGCCACACAGCUCCCCAGGUUGGAACUGGGAUGCGAACACUGCCUGCUUGGCUUCAGAGUCUGGGCUUCUAAUUGCUAAGCUUCAACAGCUCAUUUAUGUGUAUGGAAUAUUCAAUUUUUCAAAUGUGUUCUGCAUCUGUGCACAAAAAGCUAUUUGGUACAUAUUUAUCAUAAAAUGGAGAAAAAUAAAAAUCUGCUCAGAAGUGAUUUGUCAGAAGGGUAUAUAUUCAGCAUAUAUUUUCAUAAAACAUUUCGCUGGUUGUGAGUGUCCAAU